rnacentral:rRNA from 1 species
UGGGGAAUAUUGGACAAUGGGGGCAACCCUGAUCCAGCAAUGCCGCGUGUGUGAAGAAGGCCUUCGGGUUGUAAAGCACUUUAGGUUGGGAGGAAGGUGUGCAGUUUAGGAGAUAGCACAUUUGACUGUACUGACAGAAUAAGCACCGGCUAACUCUGUGCCAGCAGCCGCGGUAAUACAGAGGGUGCGAGCGUUAAUCGGAGUUACUGGGCGUAAAGGGCGCGUAGGUGGUUAGUUAAGUGAGUUGUGAAAGCCCUGGGCUUAACCUAGGAACCGCAACUUAUACUGGCUGACUGGAGUACAGUAGAGGGUGGAGGAAUUUCCGGUGUAGCGGUGAAAUGCGUAGAUAUCGGAAGGAACACCAGUGGCGAAGGCGGCCACCUGGACUGAUACUGACACUGAGGCGCGAAAGCGUGGGGAGCAAACAGG